UACGAAGGGGACUAGCGUUGUUCGGAAUCACUGGGCGUAAAGCGCACGUAGGCGGAUGUGUCAGUCAGGGGUGAAAUCCCGGGGCUCAACCUCGGAACUGCCUUUGAUACAGCACGUCUCGAGUCCGGAAGAGGUGGGUGGAAUUCCUAGCGUAGAGGUGAAAUUCGUAGAUAUUAGGAAGAACACCGGUGGCGAAGGCGGCCCACUGGUCCGGUACUGACGCUGAGGUGCGAAAGCGUGGGGAGCAAACAGG
rnacentral:rRNA from 1 species